ACAAUGGAGAGUUUGAUCCUGGCUCAGGAUGAACGCUAGCGGCAGGCUUAACACAUGCAAGUCGAACGGUAACAGGUCCUUCGGGAUGCUGACGAGUGGCGCACGGGUGCGUAACGCGUAUGCAAUCUACCCCUAUCAGGAGGAUAGCCCAGAGAAAUUUGGAUUAAUACUCCAUAAUAUUAUGAGAUCACAUGUUCUUAUAAUUAAAGCUUCGGUGGAUAGGGAUGAGCAUGCGUCCUAUUAGCUAGUUGGUAGUGUAACGGACUACCAAGGCAACGAUAGGUAGGGGGCCUGAGAGGGUGAUCCCCCACACUGGUACUGAGACACGGACCAGACUCCUACGGGAGGCAGCAGUGAGGAAUAUUGGUCAAUGGACGAAAGUCUGAACCAGCCAUGCCGCGUGCAGGAUGACGGCCCUAUGGGUUGUAAACUGCUUUUAUAUGGGAAUAAACCCUCGGACGUGUCCGAGGCUGAAGGUACCAUAAGAAUAAGGACCGGCUAACUCCGUGCCAGCAGCCGCGGUAAUACGGAGGGUCCAAGCGUUAUCCGGAUUUAUUGGGUUUAAAGGGUCCGUAGGCGGGAUAUUAAGUCAGUGGUGAAAGCCUGCAGCUUAACUGUAGCACUGCCAUUGAUACUGGUAUUCUUGAGUAUAGUUGAAGUGGGCGGAAUAUGUCAUGUAGCGGUGAAAUGCAUAGAUAUGACAUAGAACACCUAUUGCGAAGGCAGCUCACUAAGCUAUCACUGACGCUAAGGGACGAAAGCGUGGGUAGCAAACAGGAUUAGAUACCCUGGUAGUCCACGCCGUAAACGAUGAUCACUCGCUGUUGGCGAUAUACAGUCAGCGGCCAAGCGAAAGCAUUAAGUGAUCCACCUGGGGAGUACGCGUCGCAAGAGUGAAACUCAAAGGAAUUGACGGGGGCCCGCACAAGCGGUGGAGCAUGUGGUUUAAUUCGAUGAUACGCGAGGAACCUUACCUGGGCUUAAAUGUAGAUUGACAGGCUGAGAAAUCAGUUUUUCUUCGGACAAUUUACAAGGUGCUGCAUGGUUGUCGUCAGCUCGUGCCGUGAGGUGUCGGGUUAAGUCCCAUAACGAGCGCAACCCCUAUUCUUAGUUGCCAGCGAGUAAUGUCGGGGACUCUAGGAAAACUGCCCGCGCAAGCGGUGAGGAAGGUGGGGAUGACGUCAAAUCAUCACGGCCCUUACGUCCAGGGCCACACACGUGCUACAAUGGUAGUGACAAAGGGCAGCUACACAGCGAUGUGAUGCUAAUCUCUAAACACUAUCUCAGUUCGGAUCGCAGUCUGCAACUCGACUGCGUGAAGCUGGAAUCGCUAGUAAUCGCGCAUCAGCCAUGGCGCGGUGAAUACGUUCCCGGGCCUUGUACACACCGCCCGUCAAGCCAUGGAAGCUGGGGGUGCCUGAAGUCGGUCACCGAAAGGAGCUGCCUAGGGUAAAACUAGUGACUGGGGCUAAGUCGUAACAAGGUAGCCGUACCGGAAGGUGCGGCUGGAACACCUCCUUU
rfam:Owenweeksia hongkongensis DSM 17368, complete genome.